AUAUUAAAGAAAAGAAAGAAAUAAAAACAAAAGCACUCUCUCGAGAAACUCUCCAACCUAACGGUUUUAGAAUCUCUCUCACUUCACUUCACACAAUUUUUACUACUCGAUCCAAAUCCCUUCCUCCAUGAACAAAGAGAGAAAUUCCACCGCCGCAGAUCGGAAAUGUCUCCGCCGGAAUCACAACUCGAUCCAAAUCCCUUCCUCCAUGAACAAUCCUGACACCACUUAUCACUACUCCAUUUCGUCGCGAUUCUCCUCUCUCCGUUAACAGUAACAGACUCCUAACUCCUUCCGCUACAGCAGUUUUCGCCAUUGCUAGGUUUUUCGUCGAUUUUGUCAAUUACUGAAGGUACACGAAUUUUCUGUUUAAUUUAACUGUUUAAUUAUUUAUUUAUCUAUUUUGAUUUUGUGUGUGUUUUGCCGGUUGUUGAUUUGAGAUUUUUGUGAUAACAUGUGGAAGAGAUUCGAAAAGACUUGCAAUUGGUGAAAAUGUUCUGGAAAAUUUCGUCAAGGUAUUUGUAUUUAUUAACUGUUUCUAGGUUAAUCAUUUUGUAUUGAAUCACACUGUUUUGGUGUUAAAUUGAAUGUUUAUGAACUUGAUUCUGUUCUAGGUUUUUUUUCUUCCAAGUUUUAUAUUGUGUUUAGUUGAAUAUUUUGUGUAUUAUUAUGUCAUUAUGUGCAUAGAAUCAUAGGAAUUUGUUGCUGAUUUUGAAUGUUAAUGAACUUGAUUGAUAUAUGACACUAAUAGUGACCGUGUGUUAUACACUGCAGAAUUACACUGUUAUGGUGUUAAUUUGAACGUUUAUGAACUUGAUUUUGCUUUUUUAUAAUUUUUAUAAUGUGUUUAGUCGCCCGGCACGCAGGCUCAGUGUUUCGUUGAAUAUUUUGUGCAUUAUGCACAUAGGAUCAUAUGAAUUUGGUGUUGAUUUUGAUAUGUAAGACUGACAGUGACAAUAAAGUUCACUUGAUUUAGUGUGAUUAUCAUUUGCAUGAGUUGCAAAACAGGUUAAUAAACUUGAUUGGCUUGUGUAUGUGGUACUACAUUUGGAUAUGUAAGACCGACAGUGACACUAACGUUCUUUGUCUCUGAUCGAUUUUGACUUAGAGUUAGUUAAUAUAUGAACUUUUAGUUUUGUCCCAAAAUCUACGCUACAACAGAGUAGUAUAUUACAUUGAUGAUAUGGUUAUAUGGUAUAAGGCAUUGUUUAUCCAAUAUAUAAGCUCAAAUUUGUUGAACUAUGCUUUAAGAGUCGGGGCAGUGUGGCCUCUUCCACAUUUGGUUGGCGUUCUUAUUUAUGUUUCAUGUUAGUAUUAAUUUGUUUCCAUACUUUUAGUUUGCCCUUAUGUGACUAGUGGCAGUGUGGCCUCUAGGCUCUAUUAGGCAAGGUCAUCAGGCAAUGGUAUUUGUUUGUUCACGAAAAGACACUGCAAAGACUGCUUAGAAACUGGUUUGUCAUUUAAGAAGUUUUAUAUAGUCACGUUAUUUGAUCUGAAAUUUUUUCUCCUUAUAUUGCAGGUUUGCUGAAACCAUUAUUUUGUAUUAUACACUUGGUCUAUAUGAACAGAUAGUUUCUGCCCCAUGCCUUGCUUUCAGCAUCAUUAUUUUUAUGUCAUGUUCAACAGGCUGAACUUGCACGAAUGGAAGAAAACUUGGAACUCUUCAAUAAUGACACAAAUCCACAUUAUUUCUUUAUGAAGAAAGAAGUCAUUAAAUCAAGAAACAAGGAUCUCGUUCAACUUUUUGAAUUUGGCAUGGGUAUUCAUCAUGCUAUGAUGUUACGUUCAGAUAGAGGACUGACUGAGAGGCUUUUCUCUCAUGGACUUUUGAAGGCAGAGCUUAUCUCACUAGUUUUCAAUCUAGACUUUCGGAAUUUGCCUCUUGUUUCAUUAAGUAUGCAUUGUGGUGCUUUUAGGUACUUGUCUGCACAACAACUCUGGCAUGGGAUGUCAAUCUAGCUGCUCACACAGUUGUAAUUAAGUAUGCACUAUGGUAUUUAAUGAUGUAACUUUUUAGUUUAACACUUCUACAUGCUAGAUACUAUGAUGUGUAGAUGCUGUUACUGUCAAUUCUUAGACAAGAAAACAGGUACGUUGCUACAUGCCUGCACGGUGUGUCGAAAUGGAACUCCACAUAUUCCUCAAUGGUGAUGGCCCAUCUAAAGAAUUCAAUGAUUUUUGCACAAAACUUGCUGGGUUGACUUGGUAAGUGUUAUUACUUACUUAUUACUGUUUCAUUAUGAAUUAGCAUUUUUUGUUUAUUAACGAUUUUUUGUUCUGACUAGAGUUUCACUUUAAAUUUGAUACAUUUUCCUCGAGUUUCCCGAAAAGAGACAUACUUUGUACUUGCUUUGAAUUAGAUAUGGUAAAUCUUCUAUCACGUCUCAAGUUACAAUAUCUGGUAUCGAAAAUAGAGGGGAUGAGUGAUUACAGAGGAGAUCUUGUCAUUUGAGAGAAUUGGUAUUUAAGGUUUUCUUGACUUGUACAAUGACAUUGUGUUUGGAAAGACUUAACUAGUAUAGCUUAACUCAGGUAUUUUUUUGUUUGUGUGUAGGAUCAAUGGUUCAUAUAUUAAGCACUGGUUGACAUAAAAAAGAGUUUGAUUGAUCCCAUGGACAAACUGAUGAGGAACUAGAAUUAGGGUGGAUCAAUGUGCAGCAAACUAGAAUUAGUUUUCUAUUUUGAACCAAAGUAUAUGUAUCAGAAGGAUAAAUGGUAAUGUUAUACCAUGCUAAUAUAUCUUCAUUGUUUUUUGCUUGAAGGGAUUUCAUGUGGAACAAUCUGACAAGCGCAAUACCAAAAGAGAUUGGCAAUAUUACAUCAUUGAAACUCUUGCUUUUGGACAAUAAUAACUUAUCCGGAUAUCUUCCACCAGAAUUCUCGGAGUUAUACAGUUCGGCAAUAUUGUAUGUUAUGCUCUAUAUUGUCUAGAUUAGUAGCAUAUAAUAGCUUCUUCAUUGUAUAUGUUGCAUGCUUUUGUUUGAUUUGUGGAUGAGGAUCUGUAAACUAUGAUGAUACAUGACCUGAAUGUAGUUAGAAUCAGAGAUGCUCAAUCAAUGUCUGGUACCCAUCAUACAAUCUUGUUAAUUUUCAAUUUUGUUUAUUGAAAUAGCUGAAACCUUCAUUUAUAGGGAUGUUGCAGAAUUUGCACUUAUGUUAUUUUAGUUUGACAUAACCUUGAUUUACGUCACUUUGU